GUCUGAGCUUUGGUUUGAGCUUUUAACGAGAGCACAGAGUCUCUGGAAUCACCUUCAAGAGGCACGAAAAGAUGGUUCUGAGAGAAGAUCGUCAGGCUGGUGGCGUCCACGGCCUCAACUUUACCUCCGUGAUGGAAGAGGGGGAUCUGAGGCUCCCAGAGCUACACAGAUGCAG